GAUGAACGCUGGCGGCGUGCCUAAUACAUGCAAGUCGAGCGAACAGACGAGGAGCUUGCCUGUCUGACGCUAGCGGCGGACGGGUGAGUAACACGUGGAUAACCUACCGAGGAGACUGGGAUAACUUCGGGAACCCGGAGCUAAUAUCGGAUAAUAUAUUGAACCGGAUGGUUCAAUAGUGAAAGACGGUUUUGCUGUCACUUAUAGAUGGUUCCGCGCCGCAUUAGCUAGUUGGUAAGGUAACGGCUUACCAAGGCAACGAUGCGUAGCCGACCUGAGAGGGUGAUCGGCCACACUGGAACUGAGACACGGUCCAGACUCCUACGGGAGGCAGCAGUAGGGAAUAUUCCGCAAUGGGCGAAAGCCUGACGGAGCAACGCCGCGUGAGUGAUGAAGGUCUUCGGAUCGUAAAACUCUGUUAGUAGGGAGGAACAAAUGUGAAAGUAACUAUGCACGUCUUGACGGUACCUAAACAGAAAGCCACGGCUAACUACGUG
rnacentral:rRNA from 1 species